UACGUAGGUGGCAAGCGUUGUCCGGAUUUAUUGGGUUUAAAGGGUGCGUAGGCGGCUUUGUAAGUCAGUGGUGAAAUAUGGCAGCUCAACUGUCAAGGUGCCAUUGAUACUGCAGAGCUUGAGUACAGAUGAGGUAGGCGGAAUUGACGGUGUAGCGGUGAAAUGCUUAGAUAUCGUCAAGAACACCUAUAGCGAAGGCAGCUUACUAGGCUGUAACUGACGCUGAGGCACGAAAGCCAGGGGAGCGAACGGG
rnacentral:rRNA from 1 species